UACGGAGGGUGCAAGCGUUAAUCGGAAUUACUGGGCGUAAAGCGCACGCAGGUGGCUGAGUCAGUCGAUUGUGAAAGCCCUGGGCUUAACCUGGGAAUUGCAGUCGAUACUACUCAGCUAGAGUAUGGGAGAGGGCAGUGGAAUUCCCGGUGUAGCGGUGAAAUGCGUAGAUAUCGGGAGGAACAUCAGUGGCGAAGGCGGCUGCCUGGCCCAAUACUGACACUCAGGUGCGACAGCGUGGGAGCAACAGG
rnacentral:rRNA from 1 species